GGGAUAUUGCGCAAUGGGCGAAAGCCUGACGCAGCGACGCCGCGUGGGUGAUGAAGGUUUUCGAAUCGUAAAGCCCUUUUCUGCGUGACGAUAAUGACGGUAGCGCAGGACAAAGUGUCGGCUAACUACGUGCCAGCAGCCGCGGUAAAACGUAGGACGCAAACGUUAUCCGGAAUUACCGGGCGUAAAGGGCGCGCAGGCGGGACGGUAAGAGAGGCAUGAAAGCUCCCUGGCUAAACCGGGAGAGGAUGUCUGAGACUGCCGACCUGGAGUGAGGUAGAGGGGUGUGGAAUUCCGCGUGUAGUGGUGAAAUGCGUGGAGAUGCGGAGGAACACCAGUGGCGAAGGCGGCACCCUGGACCUUGACUGACGCUGAGGCGCGAAAGCAUGGGGAGCG
rnacentral:rRNA from 1 species